rnacentral:rRNA from 1 species
CCCUUAGAUGUUCUGGGCCGCACACGCGCUACACUGAAGGAGGCAGCGUGUACUCCUGGAUCGAAAGAUUUGGGUAACCCGCGAAUCUCCUUCGUGCUAGGGAUUGAGGUUUGCAAUUAUCCUUCAUGAACGAGGAAUUCCCAGUAAGCGCAAGUCAUAAGCUUGCGCUGACUACGUCCCUGCCCUUUGUACACACCGCCCGUCGCUACUACCGAUUGAAUGAUUUAGUGAGGACUUCGGACUGGGACCGAUGCGGCUUUCGGGCUGCGUCGGUAUUCUGGAAAGAUGUCCAAACUGUAUCAUUUAGAGGAAGUAAAAGUCGUAACA